GAGUUUGAUUCUGGCUCAGGAUGAACGCUGGCGGCGUGCCUAACACAUGCAAGUCGAGCGGGAAAUUUCGGAAUGAAACUUCGGUAGAAUGAAGAAAUGGAGAGCGGCGGACGGGUGAGUAACGCGUAGGCAACCUGCCCCGUACAGAGGGAUAGCCUCGGGAAACCGGGAUUAAAACCUCAUAACGCAUUCAGCCCGCAUGGGAAGGAUGCCAAAGAUUUAUCGGUAUGGGAUGGGCCUGCGUCUGAUUAGUUAGUUGGUGAGGUAACGGCUCACCAAGGCGACGAUCAGUAGCCGACCUGAGAGGGUAAUCGGCCACAUUGGAACUGAGACACGGUCCAAACUCCUACGGGAGGCAGCAGUGGGGAAUAUUGCACAAUGGGCGAAAGCCUGAUGCAGCAACGCCGCGUGAGCGAAGAAGGCCUUUGGGUCGUAAAGCUCUGUCCUAUGGGAAGAAGAAAGUGACGUACCAUAGAGGAGCCCCGCA
rnacentral:rRNA from 1 species